AUGCCCUCUUGCCUUCUGCCUUCUGCCUUCUGCUCGUGGGAUGAUGCAGCAAGAAGGCCCCCAAAAAUCAUGAGACCCUCAGCCUUGGACUUCCCAGCCCUCAGAGCUUGAUACCAGCUGAACCAGAAGCCAAUGGCAGCUUGAAACAGCAGCUUGCUCCUGUAUCUGAGGAUUCUGUGGUCCCGAAUCAGCACGUGUCACAGAUGUUUGGAGGAGACCGAGAGUGUGCUGUCGGCACGCAUCGUCCGUGAAGCAAUGGGGCAGAGUUCAUCCCUUACUUCAACCUAUGCAUCGCUGUUUUGUGCAUCGUCAUAAAAACAACACAUUCCAAAUGCACUGUCAUGGGCUUGGAAGGAAAAUAAUAAAGAAAACAAACC
rnacentral:lncRNA from 1 species